GGAAGGGACAUAGUUUAGUGGUAGCACAUCAGCCUUGCAUGCAGAAGGUCCCAGGUUCAAUCCCUGGGAAGGACUCCUGCCU